GCGGAUGAAGCCAAACGGUUAAGGCAAUGGGUUGUGGUUCCAUGUAUUGCGGGUUCAACUCCCGUCAUUCGCC
rnacentral:tRNA from 1 species